UGACAAUCUGGGAUAAACAGAAAACCUGGGAUCAGAUCCUGAGAUAUAGGGCUUGUCUGGAAGGGCCCUGAGUCACUAACAGAAACACCAACAAUAAACUAUGGGCUGUAUUUCUACACCAGCUGCUUAUGGCUUGUCUACAUCAGUCCAAAAACCUGGACUUACCCUAAAUGGACCAGUGGUGCACCAACCUACAAAUUGUGAACCAAAACAAUAUAACUAUACAACACAAGAAAACAAGAAGCCUUUUCAUCAUUCUGCUGAAACUGGUCGAGUGAAACCACCUGAGAGACCUGAGGAUUCAGUACCUACAAGUCAUUAGCCAGGACUGCUCAGACUCUCCCCACACAGCAAGUCAACUGAAUGCAGCCUGAAAUACAGUCCACUUUAACCCCAUGUUUUCCUAUGGGCGUCUGAGAUUAUUACUUGCAUCAUUUUGUGAAAGAAAACAUUUCGUUAAUUCACCUUUAAUAAAAUUAGUAUGAAAAAUAUUUUCUAAUACCACAUAGUAUCAGAGCUAGUGUAAGCACUUGAGGGCUUUAAAUAUAUAGAGUAUAUGUACAUAUAUGCGCAAUGCCUUAUCCAAAUCUUUUUCAUGUGAAAUGCUUUCUUGCAUGUAAAUUAUAUACCAGAACACAAAUUUUUCAGUCAAUAAUACUUCCAUUAUUCAUUUUUCCAUUUCUCUAAAUAUAUUUUGAUUCUAUAAUUUUGUGGGUUGAAAUAUGUAUAGGCUAUAAUGUAAUUAUAAGGUGUUUCUGAUGUAUAAUAGAACACAUUUUAUUUUGUAAGGAUACCAUAUUUAGCCUCAUUUAUGUCAUAUUAUAUGCAUUUUAUAAUUUCUUGAUAGCUGCCUUGGAUUGUUCAUCAAAUUAGGCAUCAAUUUUUUACAGAAUGAGAAUCACAAGAGCAAUAAAACCACAAUUUAUUACAAAUCAUAUGUACUUUCAUUUUAAACAUGAAUGAUUGUGUAAAAACAUACCGGCUUCAAGGAAAGUACAUAUGAUUCGCAACAAAUUGUGGUUUUACUACUUUUGUGAUAUGUUUAAAAUUAUCAUCAGGAAAAAUCUUUACAGUAUAUAAUGAAUAACCUGUUGCUUUCCAUAUUAGUAUUAGUAAAGGUAUCCCUAUUACUUGGUAGGUGAUUCCCAUGUGAUGACAACAUGACAAUAACUUUCUAACCUCUGUGGUUUAACUUAACAAUACAUCGAAAUAAAAGUGUCUUGUCUUUUGCUUAGCAAUGGUUCUGAAAGAAAUUGCAUAUCUGUAAUUCCGCUUGAGUGCCAUAUACAUACAUAUCAUUUACUAUAACUAUAAAGAAAUUAGGAAACUAGGUAAUUUCAAAGAUUAAUAGAAACUAUUAUCAUCAUCAUUAUUGUUGAUAUUAUUGCUAUUAUUUACAUUUACUUAACAAGACCUU